UGGGGAAUAUUGCACAAUGGGGGAAACCCUGAUGCAGCAACGCCGCGUGAAGGAAGACGGUUUUCGGAUUGUAAACUUCUGUUCUUAGUGAAGAAUAAUGACGGUAGCUAAGGAGCAAGCCACGGCUAACUACGUGCCAGCAGUCGCGGUAAUACGUAGGUGGCAAGCGUUGUCCGGAAUUACUGGGUGUAAAGGGAGCGCAGGCGGGAGACCAAGUCAGCUGUGAAAACUACGGGCUUAACCUGUAGACUGCAGUUGAAACUGGUUUUUCUUGAGUGAAGUAGAGGUUGGCGGAAUUCCGAGUGUAGCGGUGAAAUGCGUAGAUAUUCGGAGGAACACCGGUGGCGAAGGCGGCCAACUGGGCUUUAACUGACGCUGAGGCUCGAAAGUGUGGGGAGCAAACAGGAUUAGAUACC
rnacentral:rRNA from 1 species